rnacentral:snRNA from 1 species
CCGAUUCGGGUAGAAUUGGA